GAUGGUGUCAUUGUUUGGCCACCCGGCACCAUCUAACUUUGAGUGGAGGAGCUUCGCUCCACCCCCUUCGCCAAGAAGGAUUUCAAAGGCACCAGAUUUUCCUGGAAGCAGGGUU
rnacentral:ribozyme from 1 species